GGCAGCUUGGCCGAGUGGUCUAAGGCGGCGCAUUUAAGCUUGACGUGAUUGUUAGCUCUGCGCUCUCGAGAGAGGCGCGGGUUCGAACCCCGUAGCUGCCA